rnacentral:rRNA from 1 species
UACGUAGGGAGCAAGCGUUGUUCGGAUUUACUGGGCGUAAAGGGCGCGUAGGCGGCAAAUUAAGUCAGCUGUGAAAUCUCCGAGCUUAACUCGGAACUGUCAGCUGAUACUGAUCUGCUAGAGUGCGGAAGGGGCAAUCGGAAUUCUUGGUAUAGCGGUGAAAUGCGUAGAUAUCAAGAGGAACACCUGAGGUGAAGACGGGUUGCUGGGCCGACACUGACGCUGAGUGCGCGAAAGCCAGGGGAGCAAACGGG